rnacentral:rRNA from 1 species
CUCGUAGGCGGUCUUGCAAGUUGGAUGUGAAAACCGAAGGCUCAACCUUCGGCCUGCAUCCAAAACUGCAAGUCUAGAGUACUGGAGAGGAUGGCGGAAUUCCUGGUGUAGCGGUGAAAUGCGUAGAUAUCAGGAGGAACACCGGUGGCGAAGGCGGCCAUCUGGACAGAUACUGACGCUGAGGAGCGAAGGCUAGGGUAGCAAACA